rnacentral:rRNA from 1 species
GAUGAACGCUGGCGGCGUGCUUAACACAUGCAAGUCGAACGAAGCACUAUAGCAGAUUUCCUUCGGGAAUGAAACUGUAUUGACUGAGUGGCGGACGGGUGAGUAACGCGUGGGUAACCUGCCUUGUACAGGGGGAUAACAGUUAGAAAUGACUGCUAAUACCGCAUAACAUUGUUUUUUCGCAUGGAGAGACAAUCAAAGGAGUCAAAUCCGCUGAAAGAUGGGCUCGCGCCCGAUUAGAUAGUUGGUGAGGUAACGGCUCACCAAGUCAACGAUCGGUAGCCGGACUGAGAGGUUGAACGGCCACAUUGGGACUGAGACACGGCCCAGACUCCUACGGGAGGCAGCAGUGGGGGAUAUUGCACAAUGGGGGAAACCCUGAUGCAGCGACGCCGCGUGAGGGAAGAAGGUUUUCGGAUUGUAAACCUCUGUCUUUGGGGAAGAGUAGAAGACGGUACCCAAGGAGGAAGCCACGGCUAACUACGUGCCAGCCGCCGCAGUAACAC